GCGCCCGUAGCUCAGCUGGAUAGAGCAACAGCCUCCGAAGCUGUAGGUCACACGUUCGAAUCGUGUCGGGCGCACCA
rnacentral:tRNA from 1 species